UACGGAGGGUGCAAGCGUUAUUCGGAUUUACUGGGCGUAAAGGGCGCGUAGGCGGUCCUUUAAGUCAGAUGUGAAAGCCCGAGGCUUAACCUCGGAAGUGCAUCUGAAACUGGAGGACUUGAGUACGGGAGAGGGAAGUGGAAUUCCUGGUGUAGAGGUGAAAUUCGUAGAUAUCAGGAGGAACACCGGUGGCGAAGGCGACUUCCUGGACCGAUACUGACGCUGAGGCGCGAAAGCGUGGGGAGCAAACAGG
rnacentral:rRNA from 1 species